rnacentral:lncRNA from 1 species
CUUUCCAGGAUUAAAGUUUGUGAUAUACUUAACUCAGGAUUUAGGCAAACUGAAGGUGAAUUGGAAAGCAACUCAUAAGAAUAAGGAAAGAAGUAUGAAAUAGGUGUAAAGAAACUGUUCGUGUACUUGAUGGUUUGCAAAUAUCAUGGGGAGGCUCCAGAUUGUGUUUUCCAAAGAUGACUAAAACAGUAUCAUCUCCCAUUCCCUAUGCUCUUCUAAGACCUUGCUAUUCAUUUUCCCAUUAAGAGGUAAAGUCCAGUUCACCUCCUUUUGAGUCUGGUUAGGCUUGUGACCAAGAGAAUGCAGCAGAAUUAACGCUGUGUGACUUCUAAAGCUAGGUCACAAAAGGCAAGUCCGCUUCUGCCUUCUAAGCUGGGGCAUUCGCCUUUGGUGUUCUGUGCCGCUGUAUAAAGAGUCUGACCAUCCUAAGACCACCAUGUUGUGAGGAGCCCAAGCCACAUGGAGAGGUCACAUAGAUGUUCCAGUGACAGCCCCAAAUGAGGGUCUGCUGACAACCAGCAUCAGCCACCACACACACAGAUGAUAACAUCUCCAGGACUCUAGUUCCCAGAUGCCUGCAUAUCCCCAGGCUCUGAAUCCUCCAGCGGAGGCCCAGACAUUGUGGAGUACAUGCAACCCAUGCCAGCCCUGUCAUGUCCUGUCUGAAUUCCUCACCCACAGUAGUCAGAGCAUAUAAAAUGGUUGUUCUAUGCCACUACAUUUUGGAGUUGUUGGUUUCCCAGCAGCACAAAAUGGAACAGAGGCUUAAGUUUACUCUUACCCUAGAAUUCCAGGAGAUCCUACUGUAUUCUCUUUUAGUCUUCUGUAGAUUUUGAGGAUUUCUACUAGGUUGUGAGGAUUUCUAUCACUUGCUGUCAAACCACUGAAAUUCAUAUUAAAUUGGUAUUCAAAAUGGGGUUGCAGAGAAAAAGUGUCAGAGUGGAUUGGGACCAGCAAGAAGUUAUUGUCCUGGGAUAGAGAGCUGCAAUGCACGUUUAACGAUAGCAGUAUGUCUUGUUCCUUGGGAAUCAGAUGUCUUACUUCAUCAGAUAGCUAGACUUUAGAGGAAUUCAUCAUUUUAAAUGUCAGAAUAUCAGAUUGAGUUAUCGAUUCCUUAUGGCCUUCAGUAAAGGUCAGAGAAGUGGCAAGCCUCAGCCGACGCUGCUCCAUGGAAGUCACCAGAAGAGAAUAGAGGACAGCCCACUGACGCAGAGAAUCAGAGCACAGCAUCCACUAUUAGUUUGGACAAACUGUGGUGGCCACCAGGGGUGUAUGUGUGUGAGAGAGAGAGAGAUUAUGAACUGAUUGAAAAACUGAAGAUUACCAGCAACUGGAAUGAGGAUAUAUAGGAAGGAGGAGCCAGAAAUGUGAGCAAGCCCUUCAGAAUGUACCUUCUCCACCACCAAGUGAAAAUGAAGAUUCCUCCCCUUGUAAUACUCGGUUGGCUGUGAUGCAACAUUUUGGCAAGACUCCAAAGCAGAUUUGCGAAGAAAUGCACCCUGAAACCCAUGCCAAUACUCCAAUCUAUAAUAUCCUGCUCAUGCUCUGAGGUCAUUAAGGAAAAAAAUCAUGAAAAUAGGUGGAGCCCCAGAAUUUCCUCUAAAAAUCAGAAGACUCACAGAGAGAAUCUCCGAGAUGCUCUGGAAGAACAAUGGCCAAGCAAAAUUCUCCCGGAGGACAGAGUCUGUGGCAGUCUUUCUGGGUGACCAGAGUCAAGAGAACCUUUCGAGCUGUUUACAACUUUCAGCAAUCUGAGUAAAGUAUACUCCUGUAAGCAAAAUUAGCAUAUUGCUUUCUCUCUACCUGACUUCUUCAGGGUUUAGAAACUAUUUUUGAGUAUUCUCAACUUACGGCAAUAUAGUUAUUUGCGUAAGUGCAAUGAAAAUCUGUUUUCUUUUGUAAUAGAAAAUGAGUGGAG